ensembl:lncRNA
GGACAAACUGGAUUGCAUUGUGGAUUGCACAAUGGAUUGCACUGUGCUCUUGGAGCCUCCAGCAGAGAGGGGCUGUGAGAAUAAGUGCAAGGAAGGCUAUGGGUGCAUGAAGGGUCAACAGUGGGAACGCCAACAUUUAGUGGGAUAAACUAAGGGAGGAACAGAAGUCAGUAAAAGGACAGGAUAGCACAAAGUAGAAGAGAUUAAUGCAGAAGAACAAUUUCUAUAAGCAAAAAAGCCCACACCUUGACACAGAAGGGAUUACUUUUUAAUAUCAUCCUCGUUGCUCUUCUGGUAUUCUUGAUUUCUCCAGCUUCGAUCUGGGACGUGCAGGAGGUGGCUGCUGCCAUCACAGGAGUUCCUCCCCCAGACAACCCACACCAUAAACGUUAUUGCCCUAUAAAGAGCACUCCGCAGCUUGUCAGGGAUCCCCAAAGCCGGCAUUAGGAAAUCAGCAGCAGGCACCAUCCCCAUCCCCCAGCCUGCUCCGCCAUUCACUUCCAAUUAUGCUAAAUCAGGACUCUGAAUUUUGGGUGAGAGCCAAACUGCCAAUCCCAUAAUCAGUUAUGAACAACGUGGGCAACAUCUAUCUAAUCUGUAAAUGACCGGCUAGUCUGAGAGGCUCCUGUAACGAGGCUGGAACAGCCUCUGCCUGGGUAAUUAUUCACGUCUGGAAAGGGGGAAGAAAUCCCCUCUGGGAAGUGCUGGUUUAUAGGGCAUCACAACCUGGUGCAGCACAUUUCCUCAAGGGUAGGAAAAACUGUAGGAAAACGAGGGGAAAAAAAGGAGAUUUCAGGAUUGGAGUUGGGGUUUUGGUUGCUUUCAGGGACAAGAACUGUGACCACAGGGCUUGUGGGCAUCAUCAGGUGUGAGAUGAUCGCAGCAAUGCAGGUGCAGCAGCGGAGGGGUGAUGUUCCUUCUCCAGCCCCACGUGGGAGCAGCGUCUGGGGAAAACCAAAGCAAUGCCACUGCUUUGCUGGGUCUGAGCAUCCCUUGCACAGGUCCAAAGGCUCAGAAGAGAGGGAGUAAGCUUUAUGGGAACAGCUCACUUUUCCCUGCUAUCGGGGUGCUCUCUGGCACUGCACGCUCCCUGCAUGGGCACGCAGGAGGAACUUCCAGCCUUCAUCGCUCACCCUUCAGCACAGAGCUGAGCCUCCAUCUGCUCUGACGCCUUUCCCAUCUCCUGCAGCCCUCAGCAGCACAGCAAAGGGCCUUUUAGCCUUGAGGAUGGGGAUGAGUGGAAGAGGAAGCUCUAACCGCACAGACGAGGUGGGUCUCUAUCACACAUGGCCCUUGGAAGUGAAAUCACUGGAACGAUGGAGGGAGCAUACCAAGUGGCUUUGCUUCUUGCCUUGGAAUCCAAGAACCUUCCUCAGUACACCAUCAAGCACUUCAAGGGUCUCUGGAGGAAAUCACAUGGCCCAGGAGGGAGCUCUGACUCUAUGCAGCCUAUUCUGUACCCACGUUCACAAGUGCAACAAUUUCUGAGAAGUUCCCAGCAUGCAUAAGUUGCAUCCAGAUCAGCUUCUCAACCUGCCAUCCCACGCGGAAAGAGGAUUUUGCUGUGUCACCAAAUCUGAGGACAUCUGCGUGACAGAAAGAGGUGGGUAGAACAGCUCAAAAGUGGGACCUGAUGGGCCAUCUCACCAUAGCUGCUCAAUGCUGGGAGGAAUGAGGAUCCCUCUGACAUGCACCCUACAGUGUGCACACUGCAGCCACAUCCUUGAUCCUUUGGAUAAGGGCACAGAAGAAAGGGAGAGACAAGGGGAUGUCUAAAUGGGAAAGACUUACAGGCCUGAAUGCCAGAGUCCCUUCGUGUCACCUUCUGCAGGAGCUUCCAUCUGCUGCAACUGUGGCAUGGAUUAACUGAGGCAACAGAGAUUGAUUCAACAAGAUCCAGCAACCUAGGCUUGCAAAAUACCACUAAUUAAAAUUGGCUUUGUGCCUUCUCCUGGCUCAAAGGCCCACGGCACUUGUAAGACUGAAGGUUGGCAGGGCCCAUGACCAGACAAAUCCCUGAUACCUUCAAAGAUGCUGUUGGGAGGUUGAACAGAUAUAGAAAGAGUUAAAUCUACAUUGGAGCAUGGUGGCAUGCACAUUUCUUGAGUGCUCUUCAAGACCUAUUUUUUUUUUUAAACUAAUUCCACCUAAUCAUUUCUAUGCCAUCUCUACAGGAUGGUCCUGCUUCCACCUCCCACAAGGCUGCUCCCCUUUUUCCACAUUACCAGGUGAGCCAGGUUAAUCAGGCCUGGAAAUACACCUCACACUUGUUUGGAACUUUAUUCCUCUAAAACAAAAGUAAAACAUUUUGGCCUAGAAACUUCAAGUGUGAUUUAGUACCUUGCCUGUAGCAGAGACUGUUGCCCCUGGAGAGAUUGGGGCAUCUUCCAUUAUUAGCGACAGGAUCCGCACAUGCAAUGAAGCCUGCGUGGCAGAUGUGUGCAUCAGAAAGCACAGCUCAGGGCCUGACUCUGUAAUUGGUAUAAUUAUGCUGGGGCCCUGAGUAAUGUUUCAAGCAACGUUGGUCUUCUCAUGUUGAGUACACUG